AUUCCGGUUGAUCCUGCCGGACCCGACCGCUAUCGGGGUGGGGCUAAGCCAUGGGAGUCGCACGCUCCGCCGCCGCGGGGCGUGGCGCACGGCUGAGUAGCACGUGGCUAACCUACCCUCGGGAGGGGGAUAACACCGGGAAACUGGUGCUAAUCCCCCAUAGGGGAAGGCGCCUGGAAGGGUCCUUCCCCGAAAGGGUUUGGCAGGGGUUAUCGCUGCCAAGCCGCCCGAGGAUGGGGCUACGGCCCAUCAGGUAGUUGGCGGGGUAAUGGCCCGCCAAGCCGAUAACGGGUGGGGGCCGUGAGAGCGGGAGCCCCCAGAUGGGCACUGAGACAAGGGCCCAGGCCCUAAGGGGCGCACCAGGCGCGAAACCUCCGCAAUGCGGGCAACCGUGACGGGGCCACCCCGAGUGCCCCCUUUCCGGGGGCUUUUCCCCGCUGUAGGUAGGCGGGGGAAUAAGCGGGGGGCAAGUCUGGUGCCAGCCGCCGCGGUAAUACCAGCCCCGCGAGUGGUCGGGACGGUUAUUGGGCCUAAAGCGCCCGUAGCCGGCCUGGUAAGUCCCCUCCUAAAUCCCCGGGCUCAACCCGGGGACUGGGGGGGGAUACUACCGGGCUAGGGGGGCGGGAGAGGCCGAGGGUACUCCCGGGGUAGGGGCGAAAUCCUAUAAUCCCGGGAGGACCACCAGUGGCGAAGGCGCUCGGCUGGAACGCGCCCGACGGUGAGGGGCGAAAGCCGGGGGAGCAAACCGGAUUAGAUACCCGGGUAGUCCGGCUGUACGG
rnacentral:rRNA from 1 species